rnacentral:rRNA from 1 species
ACUCCUACUGGAGGCAGCAGUGGGGAAUUUUGGACAAUGGGCGCAAGCCUGAUCCAGCAAUGCCGCGUGCAGGAAGAAGGCCUUCGGGUUGUAAACUGCUUUUGUACGGAACGAAAAAGUCCGGGUUAAUACCCUGGGCCCAUGACGGUACCGUAAGAAUAAGCACCGGCUAACUACGUGCCAGCAGCCGCGGUAAUAC